rnacentral:rRNA from 1 species
AUGGCUCAGGAUGAACGCUAGCGGCAGGCCUAACACAUGCAAGUCGAGGGUAGAGUUCUUCGGGACUUGAGACCGGCGCACGGGUGCGUAACGCGUAUGCAAUCUACCUUAUACAGGGGAAUAGCCCAGAGAAAUUUGGAUUAAUGCCCCAUAGUGUUAUCGAAUCGCAUGGUUUGAUAACUAAAGUUCCAACGGUAUAAGAUGAGCAUGCGUCCCAUUAGUUAGUUGGUAAGGUAACGGCUUACCAAGACAAUGAUGGGUAGGGGUCCUGAGAGGGAGAUCCCCCCACACUGGUACUGAGACACGGACCAGACUCCUACGGGAGGCAGCAGUGAGGAAUAUUGGUCAAUGGGCGCAAGCCUGAACCAGCCAUGCCGCGUGCAGGAAGACGGUCCUAUGGAUUGUAAACUGCUUUUAUACAGGAAGAAACCCUCCCACGUGUGGGAGCUUGACGGUACUGUAGGAAUAAGGAUCGGCUAACUCCGUG